CCUACGGGAGGCAGCAGUGGGGAAUAUUGCACAAUGGGCGGAAGCCUGAUGCAGCGACGCCGCGUGAGGGAUGACGGCCUUCGGGUUGUAAACCUCUUUCAGCAGGGACGAAGCGCAAGUGACGGUACCUGCAGAAGAAGCGCCGGCCAACUACGUGCCAGCAGCCGCGGUAAU
rnacentral:rRNA from 1 species